rnacentral:rRNA from 1 species
UACAGAGGUGGCAAGCGUUGUUCGGAAUUACUGGGCGUAAAGGGCGCGUAGGCGGUUCUGUAAGUCCCGCGUGAAAUCCCCCGGCUCAACUGGGGAACUGCGCGGGAAACUGUGGGGCUAGAGUUCAGGAGAGGGAAGCGGAAUUCCGGGUGUAGCGGUGAAAUGCGUAGAUAUCCGGAGGAACACCGGUGGCGAAGGCGGCCUGCUGGGCAGUGGCUGACGCUGAGGCGCGACAGCGGUGGGGAGCAAACAGG